UACGGAGGGUGCAAGCGUUGUCCGGAAUCAUUGGGCGUAAAGAGUUCGUAGGUGGUAUGUUAAGUCUGGUGUUAAAGCCCGAAGCUCAACUUCGGUUCGGCACUGGAUACUGGCAAACUUGAAUGUGGUAGAGGUAAAGGGAAUUCCUGGUGUAGCGGUGAAAUGCGUAGAUAUCAGGAGGAACAUCGGUGGCGAAAGCGCUUUACUGGGCCAUUAUUGACACUGAGGAACGAAAGCCGGGGUAGCAAAUGGGAUUAGAUACCCCAGUAGUCCCGGCCGUAAACGAUGGAUACUAGGUGUUGCGGGUAUCGACCCCUGCAGUGCCAUAGCUAACGCGAUAAGUAUCCCGCCUGGGGAGUACGCACGCAAGUGUGAA
rnacentral:rRNA from 1 species